UACGUAGGCAGCGAGCGUUGUUCGGAGUUACUGGGCGUAAAGGGUGCGUAGGCGGUUUGGUAAGUCUGAUGUGAAAUCUAUGGGCUCAACUCAUAGUCUGCAUCGGAAACUGCCGGGCUUGAGUGUGGGAGAGGUGAGUGGAAUUCCUGGUGUAGCGGUGAAAUGCGUAGAUAUCAGGAGGAACACCUGUGGCGAAAGCGGCUCACUGGACCAUAACUGACGCUGAUGCACGAAAGCUAGGGGAGCAAACAGG
rnacentral:rRNA from 1 species